rnacentral:rRNA from 1 species
CCUACGGGUGGCUGCAGUGGGGAAUAUUGGACAAUGGGGGGAACCCUGAUCCAGCCAUGCCGCGUGUGUGAAGAAGGCCCUCGGGUUGUAAGCACUUUCAGUGAGGAAGAACGCCUGGUGGUUAAUACCCAUCAGGAAAGACAUCACUCACAGAAGAAGCACCGGCUAACUCCGUGCCAGCAGCCGCGGUAAUACGGAGGGUGCGAGCGUUAAUCGGAAUUACUGGGCGUAAAGCGCGCGUAGGUGGCUUGAUAAGCCGGUUGUGAAAGCCCCGGGCUCAACCUGGGAACGGCAUCCGGAACUGUCAAGCUAGAGUGCAGGAGAGGAAGGUAGAAUUCCCGGUGUAGCGGUGAAAUGCGUAGAGAUCGGGAGGAAUACCAGUGGCGAAGGCGGCCUUCUGGACUGACACUGACACUGAGGUGCGAAAGCGUGGGUAGCAAACAGGAUUAGAUACCCUAGUAGUC